rnacentral:rRNA from 1 species
CCUACGGGAGGCAGCAGUGGGGAAUAUUGGACAAUGGGCGAAAGCCUGAUCCAGCAAUGCCGCGUGAGUGAUGAAGGCCUUAGGGUUGUAAAGCUCUUUUACCAGGGAUGAUAAUGACAGUACCUGGAGAAUAAGCUCCGGCUAACUCCGUGCCAGCAGCCGCGGUAAUACGGAGGGAGCUAGCGUUGUUCGGAAUUACUGGGCGUAAAGCGUACGUAGGCGGUUAUUCAAGUCAGAGGUGAAAGCCUGGAGCUCAACUCCAGAACUGCCUUUGAAACUAGAUAGCUAGAAUCUUGGAGAGGUGAGUGGAAUUCCGAGUGUAGAGGUGAAAUUCGUAGAUAUUCGGAAGAACACCAGUGGCGAAGGCGACUCACUGGACAAGUAUUGACGCUGAGGUACGAAAGCGUGGGGAGCAAACAGGAUUAGAUACCCUGGUAGUCCACGCCGUAAACGAUGAUAACUAGCUGUUCGGGCUCUACGAGCUUGAGUGGCGCAGCUACGCAUUAAGUUAUCCGCCGUCGGGUAGGUACGGUCGCGAGAAUUAAACUAACGAAAGAAGUUAGACGGCGUGAGACGUGCCGACGGACGACGACGAGGGAGGUAGG